AUGCAGGGAGAAAUGAUGAAGACUAUGAUGGUACUCGAUGAUGAGUUCGAAAGGGGAACAAGCCCCAUGUAGUUUUUGUACAACGAGUUGGCUCGAGCUACGAAUAAUUUUGAUGAAGGAGAGAAGCUUGGAGAGGGAGGAUUUGGUGGAGUCUAUAGAGGAUUCAUCAAAGACUUGAACACAUAUGUUGCUGUUAAGAGGAUCUCCAAGGGAUCCAAACAAGGGAUAAAGGAGUACACAGCCGAAGUCAGGAUCAUCGGUCGACUUAGGCAUCGAAACCUUGUGCAACUCAUUGGUUGAUGUCACGAAAACGGAGAUCUCCUUCUUGUGUAUGAGCUCAUGCCCCAUGGCAGUUUAGAUUCUUAUUUGUUCAAAGCUGAAAGCUUCUUAAAUUGGGAGGUAAGAUACAAAAUCGCUCUUGGCUUGGCCAGCGGUGUGCUUUAUCUACAUGAAGGAUGUGAACAGUGUAUACUGCACAGGGAUAUCAAAGCAAGCAAUGUUAUGUUGGAUUUGAAUUUCAACGUAAAGCUUGGAGAUCGACUUCGGAUUAGCUAGACUUGUAGAGCACAAAAAAGGGUCGCUAACGACGAUUGUCGCUGGAACAAAGGGCUACAUGGCUCUUGAUUAUGUUGUCACAGGCAAGGCUAGCAAGGAGUCGGAUGUGUAUAGCUUCGGAGUUGUUGCUUUGGAAAUAGCUUGCGGGAGAAAAUCCAUGGAUUUCGAUUUGGAAAAUAGUAUGAUCAACUUAGUGGAGUGGGUGUGGGAACUUUAUGGAGAAGGGAAACUUAUUGCAGCAGCUGACCCAAAAUUGUGUGGAGAUUUUGAUGAAAGACAAAUGGAGUGUUUGAUGAUUGUUGGGUUGUGGUGUGCUCACCCAGACUAUAGUUUCAGACUACCAAUACUACAAGCGCUUGAAGUGCUUAACUUCAAGAACCAAUUACCAACUCUCCCAGCAAUCAUGCCGAUGGUUCCUUCUUUUGCUCGUCCAGUUCUGGCAUUUACAAGUGACACCAUUAGUGGUUCUGAAACCUGGCAUACUAAGCCUUCAAACAUUGAGAGCACCAAUACCUCUAAGUUUGCUCUUCCUCUCCCAGUGCCUCCUUCAAAUCAAUUCUAGAACUUGAGAGAGCAUCAGAUGCAUCUCUCUUCGGCCGGGAGCGCAAGAUCAUCUUCUGAUGAGAAAUUACUUUGAUCGAUAUAAGCCUAGUGUAAUGAUCGAUAG